rnacentral:tRNA from 2 species
GCGCCCGUAGCUCAGCUGGAUAGAGCGCUGCCCUCCGGAGGCAGAGGCCGCAGGUUCGAAUCCUGCCGGGCGCGCCA